UGGGGAAUCUUGGACAAUGGGCGCAAGCCUGAUCCAGCCAUGCCGCGUGAGCGAUGAAGGCCUUAGGGUUGUAAAGCUCUUUCACCGGUGAAGAUAAUGACGGUAGCCGGAGAAGAAGCCCCGGCUAACUCCGUGCCAGCAGCCGCGGUAAUACGGAGGGGGCUAGCGUUGUUCGGAAUUACUGGGCGUAAAGCGCGCGUAGGCGGACUGAUCAGUCAGGGGUGAAAUCCCGGGGCUCAACCCCGGAACUGCCUUUGAUACUGUCAGUCUUGAGUCCGGAAGAGGCGAGUGGAAUACCGAGUGUAGAGGUGAAAUUCGUAGAUAUUUUGGAGGAACACCAGUGGCGAAGGCGGCUCACUGGCUCGAUACUGACGCUGAGGUGCGAAAGUGUGGGGAGCAAACAGGAUUAGAUACCCUGGUAGUCCACACCGUAAACGAUGAAUGCCAGUCGUCGGUAGCAUGCUAUUCGGUGACACACCUAACGGAUUAAGCAUUCCGCCUGGGAGUACGGUCGCAAGAUUAAAAGCUC
rnacentral:rRNA from 1 species